rnacentral:rRNA from 1 species
AUUGAACGCUGGCGGCAGGCCUAACACAUGCAAGUCGAACGGGUGGCGGGCGGGUGAGUACUGUCUGGGUAACUGCCCGUUGGAGGUGGAUAACGGCUGGAAACGGUAGCUCAUCCCGCAUACCAUUGGGUGUGCGCAGAUGGGAUUAGCUAGUUGGUGGGGGAACGGCUCACCUAGGCGACGAUCCCUAGCUGGUCUGAGAGGAUGAUCAGCCACACUGGAACUGAGACACGGUCCAGACUCCUACGGGAGGCAGCAGUGGGGAAUAUUGGACAAUGGGCGAAAGCCUGAUGCAGCCAUGCCGCGUGUAUGAAGAAGGUCUUCGGAUUGUAAAGUACUUUCAGCGGGGAGGCGUUACUAGCAGAAGAAGCACCGGCUAACUCCGUGCCAGCAGCCGCGGUAAUUC